rnacentral:tRNA from 1 species
GCCCAGGUGGCGGAAUUGGUAGACGCACUAGUUUCAGGUACUAGCGAGUUACAUCAUGGGGGUUCGAGUCCCUUCCUGGGCACCA